UACAGAGGUCUCAAGCGUUGUUCGGAUUCAUUGGGCGUAAAGGGUGCGUAGGUGGCAUGGUAAGUCGGAUGUGAAAUCCCGGGGCUCAACCCCAGAACUGCCUUCGAUACUGGCGAUCUAGAGUCCGGAAGAGGUGAGUGGAACUCCUAGUGUAGAGGUGGAAUUCGUAGAUAUUAGGAAGAACACCAGUGGCGAAGGCGGCUCACUGGUCCGGUACUGACGCUGAGGUGCGAAAGCGUGGGGAGCAAACAGG
rnacentral:rRNA from 1 species